GGAGAUGUAUCGAAGUGGUCAUAACGAGGCGGUCUUGAAAACCGUUUGCCCAAAAGGCACGUGGGUUCGAAUCCCACCGUCUCCGCCA
rnacentral:tRNA from 1 species